GAAUUAAACAGUGCCAGCAAGUUAGUCUUUCUACAAAUGGAAUAAGUCCAUGCUGCUAAUCAAUUUUGAUGCCUGUCUCUGAACCUCUGCUAUUUCUGCUAUACCUUCUUUGGGAUCAGAUGACCAGAAGUGAAUGCACUCUAUUCCAGUGUUGCAGGACCCAGGAAGAGAGAGACACUGUGGAUUGUGAAUCACAAUACCUUUUCCCCAACACCAUUCACUCAGUCAUACACCUUCAUUCUGGUGACUUUACAGCAACCUUAGCUGAGAUGGAGCUGAGACAGUCAACAUUGUAUGGCAUAACAGCUGAAAUCAAAGACAUUGACUUAUUGACAUAACUCCCAGUUCAAACCAAGAUGCUGGAUUCACUUGAAUUUGAGCAGAAGAUUGGCAAGUGGGAAAAUUCUUUAUGUGACACAGUUUAAGGGAAGUGACAUAGUUUAAGGGGGAGAAUUCUUCUCUUUACCAAAAGUUUAUAGAGGGUCUCAGUUGCUUUUUAUUCCACACCUGACUCUUUAGGUGGCUGGCAACUAAUUUGCUCCCCUCUCCCAUUUCUUCAGAAGAGCAUUUCAUAUGUCCCAAAUAUUAGGUGACUUCUCAGGGGAAGAGGCCCGUUUGCCUCUCUCCCAUUCUCCAUCAGUACACUUUACAAAUGCUGCACCAGAUCAGGCUUCUGCUGACGCUUUAAUGACUUGACAGAGCUCCAAGGUUAAGAUACCACACAGGGCAUCUUUAUUCUCAAGUACUGCUGGGAUUUAAGUUAUCAAAAGGUCAGCAAUAGGGGUGGAGCAUUUGCAGAUCCUGCAUCUGAGAAAAAAAGGAUCCAGAUUAUUGGCCUUUGAAAAAAACAAGAGGGAGUUAAGACAAUGGGCCUACACCUUAAUACAGCUUCAGAUCAUAGCUGUGCACGAUGGCUAGGGUGACCAUACAUUCAGUUUUGGCUGGGACAGUGCCUUUUUUAAGCCCUGUCCUGGCCAUCCAACUUUUUUUUUCAACAGGAGGCAUUUGUUUCAUUUGCU